rnacentral:rRNA from 1 species
UACAGAGGGUGCAAGCGUUAAUCGGAAUUACUGGGCGUAAAGCGUGCGUAGACGGUUGCGUAAGUCAGAUGUGAAAGCCCUUGGCUUAACUGAGGAAGUGCAUCCGAAACUGGCAGGCUAGAGUACUAAAGAGGGUCGCGGAAUUCCCGGUGUAGAGGUGAAAUUCGUAGAUAUUCGCAAGAACACCAGUGGCGAAGGCGGCUCACUGGCCCGGUACUGACGCUGAGGUGCGAAAGCGUGGGGAGCAAACAGGG